GUACUGGAAUCAGGGAUUACAGAAGAAAGAAAGGGAAAUGGGUACAUAUCAGGUGGUAUCCAACAAGCAUUGCCUAUCAUUUGUGAAUAUAUCUCAUAGCAUAGGUGUGGACAGUACAAACAGUAGUGCUUAUUGAGGGUAUAAUUGAAGUCAUGUACAUAUAGAUAGACUGGAUGCCUCUACAAGUCAGUGUGGCUUCGGUGAGUCCCUUGACAUUAAGGAGUAAAUAAAGUAAAUGGUUUGCUAAGAGUAGAAGUUGCAGAUAGAUGGAGG